rnacentral:rRNA from 1 species
UUUGUGAACGCGAAGAACCUUACCAGGUCUUGACAUCCUCUGACACUCCUAGAGAUAGGACUUUCCCCUUCGGGGGACAGAGUGACAGGUGGUGCAUGGUUGUCGUCAGCUCGUGUCGUGAGAUGUUGGGUUAAGUCCCGCAACGAGCGCAACCCUUGAUCUUAGUUGCCAGCAUUCAGUUGGGCACUCUAAGGUGACUGCCGGUGACAAACCGGAGGAAGGUGGGGAUGACGUCAAAUCAUCAUGCCCCUUAUGACCUGGGCUACACACGUGCUACAAUGGAUGGUACAAAGGGCAGCGAAGCCGCGAGGUGGAGCCAAUCCCAUAAAACCAUUCUCAGUUCGGAUUGCAGGCUGCAACUCGCCUGCAUGAAGCCGGAAUCGCUAGUAAUCGCGGAUCAACAUGCCGCGGUGGAUACCUUCCCGGGUCUUGUACACACGCACAA